rnacentral:rRNA from 1 species
AGUGCGAACGGGUGAGUAAUAUAUCGGAACGUGCCCAGUAGUGGGGGAUAGCCCGGCGAAAGCCGGAUUAAUCCCGCAUACGCCCUGAGGGUGAAAGCGGGGGAUCGCAAGCCCUCGCGCUAUUGGAGCGGCCGAUAUCAGAUUAGCUAGUUGGUGGGGUAAAGGCCCUCCAAGGCAACGAUCUGUAGUUGGUCUGACAGCCCGCCCAGCCUCUCUGGGACUGAGCCCGGCCCAGACUCCUACGGGAGGCAGCAGUGGGGAAUUUUGGACAAUGGGCGCAAGCCUGAUCCAGCAAUGCCGCGUGCAGGAAGAAGGCCUUCGGGUUGUAAACUGCUUUUGUCAGGGAAGAAAUCCUCUAGGUUAAUACCCUUGGGGGGAUGACGGUGGUC